UCAGAGUGGACCUCGGCACACGUUUGUUGGAUCCAUAGUCCUUGCUCACAUCACCAAGUGAAUUGUUGUCAAGGUGGAUGCUAGCAAGGUUGUAGGCAGCAAUGAGCUCGCCUACCCAGGUUGCCUUGACCUCGUCCACCGGGGCUGGCAUCGUGCUAAGCACUGGCUGAAGGAAGGAAGCUUUCCCUUGUUUUCUUUCCCGAUUCAGAUUGCCAGAUCCUUGUGUUUGAUUUUAAAUUGAUGUGACAGCACGUCCUGUUUACUUGGAUUAGCUCACAAUUAUUCUUUUUGUCCGCUGUUCUACUACACAAGGCUUACUUUUUCAUACCUGACCGGAUGCUGGACAUGUCCUUUAUGUGUUGGAGUUUGUUUAGUUCUCGCAAAUACAUUUCGUAACUGUAUUUUAACAGCUCAGCCAGUCUGUGGGAUUGGGGGUUAGGACAUGGUGAGUAGCUCUUUUGCCUGUUAGCUAAACAAUUCAUUCUGUAUUAAGUAGUACUUAGAACUACUGUGAGUCUCAGAUUCACUAAUGAGAUCACUUAUAGUGUUCGUGAUGGCAGUGUUUGAUUUUCCAAAUCAGAACCCAAGGGCGGCGAAUAUGGACUGGAGAGAGCAAUUUCGCAUAGAUCCUAUUUCUGUUUCAAAACUGAGAAGCCAUCGACCAAAGCCCUGAGAAAUGUGAGCAUAAAGCUUAUGCCCUUAAGAAUCAGUGAAACCAGUUUUUAAAGUGACACCCCACUUCCAAACAGGCAGCAACAGACAUUACUUAGAGUUGGCCAGUUCUUUUCAACUAGCAUGAAAGAUGAGAUUUGUUCUGUAAUUUUCCCUUCAGACUCCUAAGUUCUUUGUAAAGAACCGAAUUUACGUUUGAUAAGAGGGAGAGGCUGACUUACUUACUGUAUAAGUACUGGAAAAUUUCCAUGUGCCAUCUGUGGGACUGUUAAAAGUCAAUUAAUGAAAAAGUUAAUCAGCGAUUGCCUGUGUGGGUGACUCAGUAAUCCACCCCAUCUGUUACACAACUAUCUGUGCAAACACUGGGCUGUCUAAAUGCUGGCCUCGUUUGUAAAGGAAAGAGGAAGGUUAAUUCUACAGUUGGAGUCGCACUCAUUGUACUCUUCCAGUGAGAACACGUUCACAUCUCUUGGUGGUCUGUGAUUUGGGUAUAUUCCCUCUAAAAUUUUAUAGUCUCAACGAAUGAGCCAUCUUGAAGUAGGACUUGGCCUCUCGCUACCCAUCCAUAUCAUUUCCUUCUUCAUACUUUCUCUCAUCAAUUCUCUUCAUGUGACUUCUUUCCAUAACUUUCAUAAAAUCUCACAGGAGCUUGCUUUUUCCUCAUUCUUUAUACUCUUCUUUCAUUCUCAUGGCCUCUCGAAGGGCCUCUCUGGAUGUCAAGGGGAGGUGUGUCCAGGUAGUGUUGGUCAGCCUUUCGGUGUCCUGAGUCAUAACUUUCUGGGCACUAAUUUCGAUAAUGUCUCAUGGGUAGAGAAAAUGCCUGUUUCAGAUGGUGCCUAAAAUGAUUUUGAAUCCUGUAACCUACAUCAUUGUUCUGAAAAUUUUAUGUGUUAGUUACACUGUUCAUAAGCCUGGAUUUCUAUAUAAAGGAAAGAAAAAAAAAAGCCCGCUGGUGUUUAUUAUCAGGCCUGAGAACUAAUUUAGAGAGAGUUACUUAGCAGGAGAGGAUCCAAGUCGUGCCUGCCUCUGGGUGAAACUGCUCAUUGCUCUUCUCCAACUCCGAGCCUCUGUAACCCUAAGCAUAGACACUCUGUCUGCGUGCAUGAGUGUCUCCCAAAUCCUUCCCAAUUGCUCCCUGCACCUUAGGUUCCUGUUGUACUUUUCUUUUCUUUUCUUUUUUUUAGUCUCAUUUGUUAUUUAUUUAUUUAUUUAUUUAUUUAUUUAUUUAUUUUUCUCCUUUGCCUCUGUCAGGUCCCCAACGUCACUAAAGGUUUCCAGAGAGAAGGGAGUAUGUCAGAAUUAAAAGCUUAACUUUCACAUUCGUAUAUAAAGAACCAGUGCCUACUGCCUAUUGCCUGAGGCCUCUGUCCCAUGAUGCUCUUGGAAAUGCUAUCUCAAGACAAAAGGUGUCUGUCCACUGUCUGUCCAUAACUUUGAUGGGACGAGGGUUCUAGACUAACCUAUAUCCUGUCUUGGUCAAAGAGCAAACCCAGCAUGCUCAGUACUGAGCUUGUCCUGCCCUCUCCACCCCUCGGCCCCUUUAUGGCAGUGUUGCUGUAGAUCUUCCUCUCAGCCUGUCACUCAUGGACUCAGGGCAGUCCUGCCCUUUCUUUUGGGAGCCACCCAGUUUAGUGUCCCUCAAACUCUAAAUUCCUCCAUCUUUCUUUCGAAGGUGACCACCUACAAUAGCUCCAAUGUGGUUUGUCUACUCAAAUGGUUUCAGAGCGGUCCCAAGGCACUAACAGGUUUUAUCUUGUGUGUGAGAGAGCAUAGCUGUACACAUCAUUCUUGGUACAAAGAUGAAUUUAUGGCUCUCGUCUAGAUGCCUAUGCAGUUUGUUCAGUUUUUUUUUUUCUAAAAUAAGACAUCAGCGAUAAUCACACCAGGACUGGAGUCAUAAGUGAAAUAAGGUGUCCUCAUCCAUCACUAUAAACGUCCCUCUUGAGAGAGAAAAGGGGAAAAAAUUGAUCUGUGGUAAGUUUUUCUGCUAUAAUGGACAGCAAUCUGUGAUUUUUAGGCUUUGGGGGAAAAAAUCAAAGUUUGUUUACAAGCACAGGUGGGAUAUUACAUCAACCACGCAAAGUUUACAAACUAAAUUCCUUGAUUUUUCACAGUAAAUAUUAGUUAAGCAUCAACUACGCGCCGGAGGCUACCAAGCCAACUGAAUGUGCAAACGAAAAGGCACAGCUCCACUCCGUUGCUCUGAGCACGGUGUUAUUCCUGCUCCUGUGUUUGCCGUUCCCUGAGACAAUGGCUGGGGCUCCUUACGUCAGACAUUGCUCAUACCAAGAUUGUUUGAUGCCACAGAAGUAGCAUUUAUAAGCCCACUUGUUAUUAUUCUAAUGUCCCUUAAUUCCAUAACAGAUAAAUCACAUGGCUUUGACUGAGGAUCUAUCAAUAUUUUAUUUCCCUUAAAACGGAAGAAUGUAUGAUCUUUAUAAAGGAACGACUGUAGCCUCAGCCACUGCUUUUCAUGGCUUCAAUCAAUAUAAACUUACUUAACCUUCCAGAUCCAAACGAGAAGAAACACUGUGUUACGUUUGAUGUGAGGAGCAAGAGUCUUACAUUGUGCCUUAAGCUGGUUCAGAAUAUCUUCAUGGGCAGAUAUUUUGUAGGCAGAUACCUGUCUCCGCGGCACAACUGGAUUCGACAGAAUAUCAAAAUGUCUGGAUUUGCGAUAAUAACCUUUGGAAACAUUACUCCGCGGCAGAGGCCAUGUUGUUCACAUUCCACAAAGGAUGAUCUUUUUGUAAAGCUUUUUUGCAGAGGAGAGCCUUGGGCCUCUUCCAAGGCCUUUCGUUUGGCUGGCACAUACAGAUGGCAUGCACAAAUGAGAACUGUGUACUGUUCAAGUAUAAAGGGAUCUAGAAGAGAUAUUAAGUGGAAUUUUUAGGGUAAUGUUCUACAUAGCCCCAGGUUUCCCCAGGGCAUCCUGAGACCCAUGACCUCCCUCUGACCAAAGAAAUUCUACUACUAUCAAGUUUGAAUAAUGGAUAUUUUUUUGGGUCAUGGCAAAGUGACCAGCCAUGCCCACGACACUUUCUGUUGUGACUUCUGCCACACCACAGCAAUGGAGCCCACGGGCAGAAGCUCCUGAAACUGACCCAAUAGAAACCUUCCCACUCAUGUUUAUCUAAGGGAUUUCGUUUGGACGAUGAAAAAUUAAUCCAGCUGUAAAUUGCAUAGUCAACUAAACCUGGCAUAUAUAGGCAGACUGCCUUUCAAUUCCUGUAGAAUUUAUGUUCCUACCGGAGUUCUUUGUUCAUUUCACUUUUAUUAAAUUUACUUUUUAAUCUUUAAUUUUUUCCAGUUAUGCACGACUUACUGUUUUGCAAGUCUUUAUUCGCAGAUUUGACUGUUGUGUAAAUGUUACUCCUGUGUGUACGUUCCUUAUGCUCUAUGUGUGUUGUGUAAACGGCCGGUGUCUUGGUUAGGGCUAAUGUUGCUAAGAUGAAGCACCGUGACCAAAGGCAAGUUGGGGAGGAGAGGACUGGUUUGGCUUACACUUUAAUUCACUACUCACCAUUGAAGGAAGUCAGGGCAGGAACCUGGAGGCAGGAACUGAGGUAGGGGCAUGGAGGGGUGCUGCUUACUGCCUUACUCUUUAUGGCCUGCUCUUAGAGAACGCAGAAUCAUCAGCUCAGGGGUGGCACCAUUCUUCCUCAUCAACUGCUAAUGAAGAAAAUGUCCUACAGGCUUGCUUACAGCCUGAUAUUAAAGAGGCAUUUUCUCAAUUGAGGGGCUCACCCCUCUGAUGACUCUAGCUUGUGUCGAGCUGAUAUAAAGUCAGCCAGUGCGGGAUUUUUAUAUUAUUAUAUAUUUUUUUUAUAAAAAUGUCUCUGAUUAUUGAUUUAUGGCUUCUCUAUUAUUUUAUUGAAUAUUGAAGUAUUGAAGACUGAACCUAGGACUUUGGCCAUGCUAAAUAUAUUCUCUACCACUUAGCUAUACCACAGAUCCUAUGUCAUUUUAAAUAUAAAUUACCUUUAUAUCUAUAAUAAAUAAUCAGUCAAUAAUCAAUAAUAAAUCUCCUUAACUUGGUGUACAUAGAUCCCACCACCUACUUGACUUUCCAAGUGGAUGCACCUAUGUUUCCCACAGCCAUUCUUUAUACCUCAGGCCUCAGAGGAGAGAUCAUUUGUCCUCACUAUGUCCUGUUGGGUUUCCAGAUUGUCUGUCUGAACCCAUAAGCACUGUUUGCGAUGCACUACCAAGUAAACAGAGCGCUCUUGGACUCAAUGCAGCAAACGAGGGACCCUCAAUUAGCUUCAAGACCUUCCUCAUAUCAAUUAAGUUUACUGGUUUUAAAUAUCCCUAUUUGCAACAUGCGGACAGUGUCAUCUACGCUUUCAAAUCAAUAGGUGCUGGCGAGAAGCCAGUGAGGAGGGCGAAUGGGAAGGAGGUGUAAAGAUGUGGGCAGCUUCUGAAUCGAUUACGAACGUUUCUCCUAUGACCAACCAGAAGUAACCAUUAUCCUCAGCAGAGCUGGCCCCGCUUUCCAGGAAAGGUGAGCCUGGCCCCCUGGGACAUAGGCCGUAUCUCCGACACCUGAAAAGAUCCCUCUGCUUUUGACAAACGACUAAACUUUCUUCUGCGAAAGGCGAGGUCUGUGUGGCUCCAUUCAGACCCGAGGAGGUCCAGACAUCUCAGGUGCAACUAAGCAGAACUUGGAACUGCUUCAGAGAUUCUAGAUGACCUUUGUUGAAGUGUUUUUCUCCGCAUUAAAACUAUAAAAACUACGUGGAGACCUCCUCACCCUGUCGUACUUCGGGGCAAGCUGAAACAACAGCUACAAUGGUUUAAAUCUGUAACGUGGGGUGCUGAAGCUCACCUGGACUAAUGAAGCUAAGUUUACCCAUUCGCACGCAGCCCAAGAGGAUCAGCUGGCUAAGGCAAAUGCCUGGCCUUCCAAAGAGGACUGAGAGAUGGGGCCCGGGCCUUGGUCCUAGUUCCACUCUCCCCCCUCCCCCAAAUCUAAGAAAAAGUGUUAAUACAGAUAAUAUAAAGACUCACCCUCUGAAUUUCUUGUCUAAG